rnacentral:lncRNA from 1 species
ACCCAAGAGGGGGGUGAAUUGGGUCUUUUAAAACUUUUCUGCUACUUCUAAAACUUUUUGAUUAACUAUGCUAAGUUGUAUAGAUACACAGUGAAAGUUAAACUUAGCAAGGUUUUGAUGUAUAGACUUCGACUUGAUUAAAUAUGCUUGCAACUAAAAGAUGUGCAGAUAAGAAUUAAGCAAGCAAUUUAUCUAAGUAAGUAAGUGUGUUAGUUAGACAAUAACUAGAGGCAUUACAAACACCAAGGACAUAUAGUGGUUCGGUGCACCC